GACGAACGCUGGCGGCGUGCCUAAUACAUGCAAGUAGAACGCACAGUUUAUACCGUAGCUUGCUACACCAUACACUGUGAGUUGCGAACGGGUGAGUAACGCGUAGGUAACCUGCCUGGUAGCGGGGGAUAACUAUUGGAAACGAUAGCUAAUACCGCAUAAUAUUGAUUAUUGCAUGAUAAUUGAUUGAAAGAUGCUAUUGCAUCACUACCAGAUGGACCUGCGUUGUAUUAGCUAGUAGGUGAGGUAACGGCUCACCUAGGCGACGAUACAUAGCCGACCUGAGAGGGUGAUCGGCCACACUGGGACUGAGACACGGCCCAGACUCCUACGGGAGGCAGCAGUAGGGAAUCUUCGGCAAUGGACGAAAGUCUGACCGAGCAACGCCGCGUGAGUGAAGAAGGUUUUCGGAUCGUAAAGCUCUGUUGUAAGAGAAGAACGGGUGUGAGAGUGGAAAGUUCACACUGUGACGGUAUCUUACCAGAAAGGGACGGCUAACUACGUG
rnacentral:rRNA from 1 species